rnacentral:rRNA from 1 species
CCCCAGACUCCUACGGGAGGCAGCAGUGGGGGAUAUUGCACAAUGGGGGGAACCCUGAUGCAGCGACGCCGCGUGGGUGAAGGAGUGCUUCGGUAUGUAAAGCCCUAUCGGCAGGGAAGAAAUUGGACGGUACCUGACUAAGAAGCCCCGGCUAACUACGUGCCAGCAGCCGCGGUAAUACGUAGGGGGCAAGCGUUAUCCGGAUUCACUGGGUGUAAAGGGAGCGUAGACGGCCAUGCAAGCCUGGAGUGAAAGCCCGGGGCCCAACCCCGGGACUGCUCUGGGAACUGUGCGGCUGGAGUGCGGGAGGGGCAGGCGGAAUUCCUGGUGUAGCGGUGAAAUGCGUAGAUAUCAGGAGGAACACCGGCGGCGAAGGCGGCCUGCUGGACCGCGACUGACGUUGAGGCUCGAAAGCGUGGGGAGCAAACAGGAUUAGAUACCCCUGUAC